UACGUAGGGUGCGAGCGUUGUCCGGAAUUAUUGGGCGUAAAGAGCUUGUAGGCGGUUUGUCGCGUCUGCUGUGAAAAUCCGGGGCUCAACCCCGGACUUGCAGUGGGUACGGGCAGACUAGAGUGUGGUAGGGGAGACUGGAAGUUCCUGGUGGUAGCGGUGAAAUGCGCAGAUAUCAGGAGGAACACCGAUGGCGAAGGCAGGUCUCUGGGCCACUACUGGCGCUGAGAAGCGAAAGCAUGGGGAGCGAACAGG
rnacentral:rRNA from 1 species